GGUGGGUUAAUUCAGCGGUAGAAUAUCCGGCUCGUAACCCGGAAAGACGCAGGUUCGAGCCCUGCACCCAUCA
rnacentral:tRNA from 1 species